rnacentral:lncRNA from 1 species
AAUAUGUAGACGAAUAAUUUAUGAAUGGAUGAUGUAUACAGGAUGUAAAAUAUAAACUGACUCAUGUAGUAUAAUCAAAUAAAAUUACAAUACACGUAAAUCCAAAUGUAAUUCAGUACAGGUUGGCUUGGAACAAAUUUUAUAUCAAAGGUCCUUUAAAAACUCAGGUUCUGUUGAAAUAAUAGCAAGAUUUUCUAGCCGCUCCUGAACCAUUCUAGAUCUUAAGUAGGUAAUUCUUAAUUAGUUUUAGUUUAGAAAAUGAUCUCUAGGCUGAAGCUACAGAAAUCUGUAUAGUUAAUAAUAUACGUAAAGCAACAGUAAUGUUUGGGAAGGAGUGGACAAGUUAUUUUUUGCAAUUUUUUUGCUUCAAAAAAUAUUUAGUUUUGAAUUGGAUAUUUAUUUAACUUUGCUGAGUCAAAGGGCACCUUUAACGCCAUCGUGCACCGCACGACCUUGUCCAUAUGGACCUGUACCUCAGGUCUAUGGGACACAACUAUCAGACUUGUCCUUUUUCUCUAUAGAAACCAAAAAUCUAGAGAUUUUUGUUUGGGUAACAUAUUGGCUCACAGCAGUAUGUGUAUU